GUGCUCGCCUUGGCAGCACAUCUAUUACAAUUGAAACAAUACGGAGAAGAUUAGCAUGGCCCUGUGAAAGGGUGACACAAAAGUUCAGGAAGCAUUCCAUAUUCAA